ACGAAGGGUGCAAGCGUUACUCGGAAUUACUGGGCGUAAAGCGUGCGUAGGUGGUGAGUUAAGUCUGUCGUGAAAGCCCCGGGCUCAACCUGGGAAUGGCGGUUGAAACUGGCGAACUAGAAUCUGGCAGAGGGGGGUGGAAUUCCACGUGUAGCAGUGAAAUGCGUAGAGAUGUGGAGGAACACCGAUGGCGAAGG
rnacentral:rRNA from 1 species